AACUAUAUUUUUUGGUGCCCGUAAAUGAGGACAACAGGAGGGUUAAAUUCACCAGGGGAUUUUGCUUUAUGUCCAUCAACUGUUGAAAUGUGUUAGUUGAGUCACACUGAAGACAUAACUUCAGUUGCAUGUACAUGCACCCUGCAAAUGUUGACUGUUGUGCCUCCUGUGACACCACAGGUUCCUCUUGCUCCUGGUGCUUCAUCCACCGCCACUGGCCAGAGCUCACAUUCAUCCACCAGUGAUGUGUCAAGUUCGGCACACACUUCAUCUGUGGUACCUUCUGUCACUCCUCAAAUGCCCCUCCCAGAUGAUGCAUUGGCUCGUCCCUCUCUAUCUCCCCACACAUCCACCAACCACUGGAACACAUCUCCAAAGUUCUGCUGGACCAGCUCAGCUUCCCCUCAGAAGAAGUGCUGCCACCUGCCAGAUGAAGGAGCCUUUUGAGAGGCAGCUGGCAUCGUGAUUGGACUGUACUUUGGUCUGUUCCAAUCCAGCUUCAGCUCCAGAGACGGCAGGCGGGACGAGUCAACGGAGGCCUGGUGGACGAAGGCAUGCAGCUGAGUACAAUCCAGAAAACAACAGAGGAAGAAAUAAACAUAGUGUAUACAUCAUAUACUGUAUAAAAGACACAUCCACUGUAGAAUUGUAGUAAUUGUGGGCUGACUGAUUUACUGAUUAUCAGUAUUUUUUACUGAUUUACUGUAAUAAAUACAUUUUAAAAUGGUGCUACUUUGGCUCUGAACCUUUAUCUACCUGUGGUCACUCUGUCUUCUGGAGUGAUUUGAUUGGUUAUACGUCACAAAUAAAACUCCUUUAACUUAACAUCUGUAAACAAAACAAAAACGUAUCAACAAAGUUUUCUGUUAGAGUUUGUGUUCUUCUAAGUUUAAUUCCAAGAUUUUAAAUACUUUCAUUUACUGCAAAUGAAUGUCUACUCCGAAUGUCUCACUAAUAAUCAUUAUCAGCCUUAAAAACCCACAAAACACCCCUCUAUACUGGACCACACUUAGUACAGUUCGGUUCCCCCUUCUAUAAAUCUGCUUGGAAUCUUCCACUUCCUGUUUGUCAAAGUGGCCUUCUACCUGGACAGGAUUUGUUGGAGCUCAUGCAACAAACAUUUUGGGUAACUGCACUUUAAUAUGGAUGGAUGACACUGAAUUAGAGUCUGUUUUCAUGAGACUGAGUUAAGAUGUGUAGCUCUGUCAUUAAAUAGGAAAUUAUUUCUCAGAAUUCACAGAGAAAAGUCUGGAAUGUUUGCUAGGUUAGCAUCACAUGUUCUUUGGCUCAGCUAAAGCUAACUCUCUCCAACUUCUGGAUCUCUUGAGUUGCUUGUUGUUAAAAUAUCUUGCUAGAGGUGCUGAAGUUCAGCAAGUAUGAGAUGUUUGUUCAAAAUCAGCUCAUUCUCAAGUCUGAUCUGAACUGUCCUCUUUUGUUAGAACUUUCCCUAAACUUAGGAGUUAAUGACAGAGCAGCACAUCCAGACUCACUCUCAUUUAUGUAGAGAUUAAACUUCAGUGUCAUUCAUUGAUGCUAAAGUGCAGUUCUUCAAAUGUUUGUUGCACAUGCUCCCGACCAAACCAGUCCAGGUGGAAAACGAUGUGAAGAGAAAGCUCCAGAG